rnacentral:lncRNA from 1 species
AACCAAUGAAGCAUAAUUUAUAACAAACUCAUUUAUUAACAUAAAAAUCUUUACUGUCCACUUACCUCGGUGAGAUUCAUGAAAAUAACCUAUGAAAACAAUAACCUUAUAAUAUCAUGAAACACUUUAUAACAUAACACAUAUCAUACCUUUACAUUUCAAUCAUCAGAAAACAGAUUUCCUCUUUUACCAGCCUACUAGUAUCCAUGGGGAUCCAUAGGGGGUCCCCGCUACACGUGAACCAUUAACAUUUACAACCUGAUUCCAGGGCCGUUCCCAUACCCCGUCCGGUAUGGGCGCUAAAACACAUAAGGUCUCCAUACCCCGUCCGGUGUCAGCAUUUUCUUACCACGCGGCGUGUCCUGGUUGGCCGGGGCUGCUGACUGGGCUGCUAACGUGGCACAACUUUUCUAAAUUACAUUUUGACAUCUG